rnacentral:rRNA from 1 species
AUUGAACGCUGGCGGCGGGCUUAACACAUGCAAGUCGAACGAAGUGGCGAACGGGUGAGUAAUACGUGGGUAACCUGCCCUCCUUUUUGGGAUAAGCCUUGGAAACGGGGUCUAAUACCGGAUAAAGGGGGAUGGGCUAGCGGCCUUUCAGCUGGUUGGUGGGUUGCUUGCCUACCAAGCCGGUGACGGGUAGCCGGCCUGAGAGGGUGGACGGCGACAUUGGGACGGCGAUGCCGCCCAGAGUAGGACGCAGGGGAGAAGUUGGGAAUAUUGCACAAAGGGUGAAAGCGUCAUGCAGCGACGCCGAGUGAGGGAUGAGGGCUUUCGAGUUGUAACACUCUGGCGCUAUCGAACGGGUAGGUGGAGAAGAAGCGCCGGCUAACUACGUGCCAGCAGCCGCGGUAAUAC